CAGAACCCUCGGUUGCCAACGGAGCUAGAACCGUUUUUUUGUAGCGCUCAACUGUGUGCAAAGACAAGCGAAAAAGUGCUGCCCGUCAGCAGGUGCCGCGUUCGUCGAAGGGUACGAAUUACGGAAGCAACGGCAGCAAUUUGCAAACAGUUGGAUGACGAAACAACGCCGACCAAGUAGGCUAUCCCUAGAUUGUCAAAAUGUUAACCUCAAAACUGAAGAGACGAUCCGUCAGCGACCGCGUUACUGAUGCAACUGCAGCAUUUCCAAGUAUCAAAACCGAUCGAAGGGAGGUUUGUUUACGCACGUCGGUUGACAAGAACCAGACUGCUGUGAAAUUCCUUCCCAAGAAGACCCGUACGGGGUAAACAUUAGCACCGAAGAUCAAAUACGUGUUCGGUGCAUAGCUUCAGGUCUGCGACCGGCAGUUUUGAGAAGGAAGACGAAGCAAACGGAUGAGCAGCCAGCGACUUCAUUAGAACAAAUGUAAACGGAAUUCGAAAUGAUUAUAGAGAGGCAACGCGUCAGCAUUUGCUGGACACGACCACACGACCACGACGGGUGUAAAAAGUGGAAAUGGUGAUGAAAUAUUUAUGGUUUAUUGUACGAAGACAGCAAAAAAAAUCGAAUGGUUUACGC